rnacentral:lncRNA from 1 species
AAAAUUCCAACUGUGCUUUCAAAGGCCAGGCUGCAUUUAAUUCAAAAGUCAGAACGAUGUGCAAGGAAUUGACUAUACUUCGAAGAAUAAUCAGAAGAGCCACAUGGUACAAAAUUUCAGACCACAAUGGCAGACAAAACCAUUCAGAUUUCAGAAUGGGCUUCUUCCUGGAAACAUGAAAUGUGAACUGUAAGAACUUCUCCAAAGGUUGCUACUAAAUUAUGUUAAAUAGGACACUAAAUUGUAGUCAUUUUUAUAU